rnacentral:tRNA from 1 species
CGGAGUGUAGCGCAGUCUGGUAGCGCACCACGUUCGGGACGUGGGGGUCGAGUGUUCGAAUCACUCCACUCCGACCAG